CCUACGGUGGGCAGCAGUGGGGAAUAUUGGGCAAUGGAGGAAACUCUGACCCAGCAACGCCGCGUGAAUGAUGAAGGUCUUCGGAUUGUAAAGUUCUUUUCUAAGGGAAGAUGAUAGCGACGUCUCCCUAGUAAUAAGCCGCUGCCAACUACGGGCCAGCAGCGGUGGUAAGACGGAGGGGGGAAGCGUUAGCCGGAAUGACUGGGCGUAAAGGGUGCGUAGGGGGUGUGAUAAGUUGGUAGAGUAAUCCCGAGGCUCAACCACAGCACUGUUACCAAAACUGUCAGACUUGAGUGUGGGAGAGGCAGGUGGAAUUCUUGGUGUAGGGGUAGAAUCCGUAGAGAUUAAGAGGAACACCCAUGGCGAAGGCGAGUUGCUAGACUAUAACUGACACUGAGGCGCGAAAGCGUGGGGAGCAAACAGGAUUAGAUACCCCUGUAGUC
rnacentral:rRNA from 1 species